AUAGUACUCCCUCCGUUUGAAAUUACUCGUCCAAGAAAUAAAUGUAUCUAGAUGUAUUUUAGUUAUAGAUACAUCCAUUUUUGUGACAAGUAAUUCCGAACGGAGGGAGUAUUCA
rnacentral:pre_miRNA from 1 species